rnacentral:rRNA from 1 species
GGUUAAGCGACUAAGCGUACACGGUGGAUGCCCUGGCAGUCAGAGGCGAUGAAGGACGUGCUAAUCUGCGAUAAGCGUCGGUAAGGUGAUAUGAACCGUUAUAACCGGCGAUUUCCGAAUGGGGAAACCCAGUGUGAUUCGUCACACUAUCAUUAACUGAAUCCAUAGGUUAAUGAGGCGAACCGGGGGAACUGAAACAUCUAAGUACCCCGAGGAAAAGAAAUCAACCGAGAUUCCCCCAGUAGCGGCGAGCGAACGGGGAGCAGCCCAGAGCCUGAAUCAGUGUGUGUGUUAGUGGAAGCGUCUGGAAAGGCGCGCGAUACAGGGUGACAGCCCCGUACACAAAAAUGCACAUGCUGUGAGCUCGAUGAGUAGGGCGGGACACGUGGUAUCCUGUCUGAAUAUGGGGGGACCAUCCUCCAAGGCUAAAUACUCCUGACUGACCGAUAGUGAACCAGUACCGUGAGGGAAAGGCGAAAAGAACCCCGGCGAGGGGAGUGAAAAAGAACCUGAAACCGUGUACGUACAAGCAGUGGGAGCACGCUUAGGCGUGUGACUGCGUACCUUUUGUAUAAUGGGUCAGCGACUUAUAUUCUGUAGCAAGGUUAACCGAAUAGGGGAGCCGAAGGGAAACCGAGUCUUAACUGGGCGUUAAGUUGCAGGGUAUAGACCCGAAACCCGGUGAUCUAGCCAUGGGCAGGUUGAAGGUUGGGUAACACUAACUGGAGGACCGAACCGACUAAUGUUGAAAAAUUAGCGGAUGACUUGUGGCUGGGGGUGAAAGGCCAAUCAAACCGGGAGAUAGCUGGUUCUCCCCGAAAGCUAUUUAGGUAGCGCCUCGUGAAUUCAUCUCCGGGGGUAGAGCACUGUUUCGGCAAGGGGGUCAUCCCGACUUACCAACCCGAUGCAAACUGCGAAUACCGGAGAAUGUUAUCACGGGAGACACACGGCGGGUGCUAACGUCCGUCGUGAAGAGGGAAACAACCCAGACCGCCAGCUAAGGUCCCAAAGUCAUGGUUAAGUGGGAAACGAUGUGGGAAGGCCCAGACAGCCAGGAUGUUGGCUUAGAAGCAGCCAUCAUUUAAAGAAAGCGUAAUAGCUCACUGGUCGAGUCGGCCUGCGCGGAAGAUGUAACGGGGCUAAACCAUGCACCGAAGCUGCGGCAGCGACACUAUGUGUUGUUGGGUAGGGGAGCGUUCUGUAAGCCUGCGAAGGUGUGCUGUGAGGCAUGCUGGAGGUAUCAGAAGUGCGAAUGCUGACAUAAGUAACGAUAAAGCGGGUGAAAAGCCCGCUCGCCGGAAGACCAAGGGUUCCUGUCCAACGUUAAUCGGGGCAGGGUGAGUCGACCCCUAAGGCGAGGCCGAAAGGCGUAGUCGAUGGGAAACAGGUUAAUAUUCCUGUACUUGGUGUUACUGCGAAGGGGGGACGGAGAAGGCUAUGUUGGCCGGGCGACGGUUGUCCCGGUUUAAGCGUGUAGGCUGGUUUUCCAGGCAAAUCCGGAAAAUCAAGGCUGAGGCGUGAUGACGAGGCACUACGGUGCUGAAGCAACAAAUGCCCUGCUUCCAGGAAAAGCCUCUAAGCAUCAGGUAACAUCAAAUCGUACCCCAAACCGACACAGGUGGUCAGGUAGAGAAUACCAAGGCGCUUGAGAGAACUCGGGUGAAGGAACUAGGCAAAAUGGUGCCGUAACUUCGGGAGAAGGCACGCUGAUAUGUAGGUGAAGUCCCUCGCGGAUGGAGCUGAAAUCAGUCGAAGAUACCAGCUGGCUGCAACUGUUUAUUAAAAACACAGCACUGUGCAAACACGAAAGUGGACGUAUACGGUGUGACGCCUGCCCGGUGCCGGAAGGUUAAUUGAUGGGGUCAGCGCAAGCGAAGCUCUUGAUCGAAGCCCCGGUAAACGGCGGCCGUAACUAUAACGGUCCUAAGGUAGCGAAAUUCCUUGUCGGGUAAGUUCCGACCUGCACGAAUGGCGUAAUGAUGGCCAGGCUGUCUCCACCCGAGACUCAGUGAAAUUGAACUCGCUGUGAAGAUGCAGUGUACCCGCGGCAAGACGGAAAGACCCCGUGAACCUUUACUAUAGCUUGACACUGAACAUUGAGCCUUGAUGUGUAGGAUAGGUGGGAGGCUUUGAAGUGUGGACGCCAGUCUGCAUGGAGCCGGCCUUGAAAUACCACCCUUUAAUGUUUGAUGUUCUAACGUUGACCCGUGAUCCGGGUUGCGGACAGUGUCUGGUGGGUAGUUUGACUGGGGCGGUCUCCUCCUAAAGAGUAACGGAGGAGCACGAAGGUUGGCUAAUCCUGGUCGGACAUCAGGAGGUUAGUGCAAUGGCAUAAGCCAGCUUGACUGCGAGCGUGACGGCGCGAGCAGGUGCGAAAGCAGGUCAUAGUGAUCCGGUGGUUCUGAAUGGAAGGGCCAUCGCUCAACGGAUAAAAGGUACUCCGGGGAUAACAGGCUGAUACCGCCCAAGAGUUCAUAUCGACGGCGGUGUUUGGCACCUCGAUGUCGGCUCAUCACAUCCUGGGGCUGAAGUAGGUCCCAAGGGUAUGGCUGUUCGCCAUUUAAAGUGGUACGCGAGCUGGGUUUAGAACGUCGUGAGACAGUUCGGUCCCUAUCUGCCGUGGGCGCUGGAGAACUGAGGGGGGCUGCUCCUAGUACGAGAGGACCGGAGUGGACGCAUCACUGGUGUUCGGGUUGUCAUGCCAAUGGCACUGCCCGGUAGCUAAAUGCGGAAGAGAUAAGUGCUGAAAGCAUCUAAGCACGAAACUUGCCCCGAGAUGAGUUCUCCCUGACUCCUUGAGAGUCCUGAAGGAACGUUGAAGACGACGACGUUGAUAGGCCGGGUGUGUAAGCGCAGCGAUGCGUUGAGCUAACCGGUACUAAUGAACCGUGAGGCUUAACCUU